UCCGAUAAGAGAGAAAAAGAACCAUCUCUUUCCCUCUCCGUGUGUCAGACUACCCCCACCUGCCCUUCAAGAAACCCUCCUAAAAGAAAAAGCCCCAAAUUAAAAUAAAGCCCUAAUUUUAGGUCCGCCAUGGCUAAGAAGCGAAAGUUGCGAUCCUCUGAGCCCGAGACCGCCAAGGCACCUGAACCCCAACCCCAACAACCUCCUGCACAGCCUGACCCUACGCCUGAGGAUGAAGAGGAACCACAGCUCCAUGGAGACGAACACGAAGACGGCGACCAAACCCAGUCCGAACAAAUACAAGACAACGAGCUUCACGGACGGCAAGAUAUGGCUGUCGACGAUACGAAAGAAGGUGAACAAGAGCAAGAGCAAGAGGCACAACAAGGUGAUGGUGGAGGAGAAGAAGAAGAAGACGAAGAAGAAGAAGAAGAGGACGAAGAGCAACAACAGGACGAAACCCUAAAUGUUCCUACGAAUGGUGCCGUUUCGGGUGAUGGAGCUCAAUCCGAAGGUAACGAAGGCGACGAAGACAACGAAGAGGAAGAGGAUGAUGAGGUGGACGAUGAGCCUGUGGAGACGCUUCUUGAACCUUUCUCGAAAGAGCAGCUGCUAUCUCUCGUCAAGCAGGCGCUUAACAAGUACCCGGACUUUGUUGAGAGUGUUCGUGAGCUCGCCGAUGCCGACCCUGCUCACCGUAAGAUCUUUGUCCAUGGACUCGGUUGGGACACCACCGCGGAAACCCUAACCUCAGUGUUCGGUAGGUAUGGUGAGAUUGAGGACUGCAAGGCUGUGACGGAUAGGGUUUCUGGGAAAUCGAAAGGCUAUGCUUUUAUCCUCUUCAAGCACCGGAGUGGUGCUCGAAAGGCUCUGAAGCAGCCCCAGAAGAAGAUUGGCAACCGGACCACUUCUUGCCAGCUUGCCUCGGCUGGACCUGUUCCGGCCCCCCCGCCUGUUACCCCUCCGGUCUCGGAGUACACGCAGAGGAAGAUUUUCGUGAGCAACGUUUCCGCAGAAAUCGAACCCCAGAAGUUGCUCGAGUAUUUUAGACAGUUUGGGGAGAUUGAGGAAGGGCCACUAGGCCUCGAUAAGCACACUGGCAAACCAAAGGGUUUUGCUUUAUUUGUAUACAAAUCGAUAGAGGGUGCUAGAAAGGCUCUUGAAGAGCCUCACAAAGUGUUUGAGGGCCAUACUUUGCACUGUCAGAAGGCUAUAGAUGGUCCCAAGCCAAAUAAGCCUUACCAUCAUCAUCAUAAUCAACCCCCACAUUACCAUCCUAGGAAGGAGAAGAGUAAGUAUUCGUCUGGCGGCACAGGGCCAGGGCAUUUGAUGGCUCCAUCAGCUCCUGCGGUGGGUUUUAACCCGGGAGUGGCGGGAGUGGCAGCGCCGGCACUGAACCCUGCCCUUGGGCAGGCCUUGACUGCAUUGCUUACAUCACAGGGAGCUGGACUGGGGCUUGGUAAUCUGCUUGGAGGUCUUGGUGGUGCACCUGUAAACCAGGCUGGGCCACCGGUUGGAUAUGGGAAUCAGGCUGGUGGGAGCUAUGGGAACCAACCAGGGAUGCAGGGUGGAUACCAGAAUCCACAAAUGGGGCAGAGCAGUGCUGGUAGGCCUCAUCCAGGCGCAGGUGCACCUUACAUGGGCCAUUAGUGCUUAGUAGAAAGCAUUAUCAAGUCAUUGACUGCAUCCGGAUUGGGGUCUGGUAAAUAUUAUCCAUCAGAUGUCUUAUUGCAGAUCUCCUCAUUGAUGCAUCAAUCAUUUAGUUUUGGAUUUUGGUGAUUCUUCUGAAGUUCAAGGCACUCUUGCAAAAGGCGUCUUUAAGUUUGUAAGCCUACUAUAAGGACCAGAUUCUCAGACAUAUUUUCUUGGGUUGUCAUCUAUUGGUUUUUACUGUCCAACUCAUUGUUUGUAAUUGUAAUAAGUUUUUUUCUAUGCUUAUUUCAUGCCAGUGCUUAUUAGAAAGCAUUAUCAAGUCAAUGACUGCAUCCUGAUUGGGGUCUGGUAGGUAUUAUCCAUCAGAUGUCUUUUCAUGUCAGUGAAUGUAGGUUACACUGAAAACUUAGCUUCUAUCAUAUUCAUAUUAACUGAGAAUUGUUUAGUCAUCUGUACUUGAUCAAGAGAUUUGGCUUUCGUGAGACAUGAAACCCCUGUCAAGAAAUUGGUUGAUAUCAUGGUCCUCUACCUCCCACUGUCUGCAUCUACUGAUGGAUCGGGCAUCAUCAUCCUCAACGUUAGAUGCACUGGCUGGAAUCCGAUUGAGGUUACUCAGAAAUUGUAGCUCCUCUGUAGAUGAGUGAUGCUUCUAAAGAUGGAACUCGAUAGCUGGCUUUCAGUAUUCACCACCUUUUCAUAAAUGCUGCCUCCUUUAUGUGUUAUGUAGAACUAUGGAGACACAGAAGUGAAGGUAUCAAGUAGCAUUAGAUGCUGUUUGGUUUUUAAACUUUAGCCUUAACAUGGCAACUUAAUAAGAGAUUUUAGUUUGUUGGUU